CUGACGUUAGCGGCGGACGGGUGAGUAACACGUGGGUAACCUACCUAUAAGACUGGGAUAACUCCGGGAAACCGGGGCUAAUACCGGAUAAUACAUGAAACCGCAUGGUUUCAUGAUGAAAGACGGUUUUGCUGUCACUUAUAGAUGGACCCGCGGCGUAUUAGCUAGUUGGUAAGGUAACGGCUUACCAAGGCAACGAUACGUAGCCGACCUGAGAGGGUGAUCGGCCACACUGGAACUGAGACACGGUCCAGACUCCUACGGGAGGCAGCAGAA
rnacentral:rRNA from 1 species